rnacentral:rRNA from 1 species
AACGAACGCUGGCGGCAUGCCUAACACAUGCAAGUCGAACGAGACCUUCGGGUCUAGUGGCGCACGGGUGCGUAACGCGUGGGAACCUGCCCUUAGGUUCGGAAUAACUCCCCGAAAGGGGUGCUAAUACCGGAUAUUGUCUUCGGACCAAAGAUUUAUCGCCUUUGGAUGGGCCUGCGUUGGAUUAGUUAGUUGGUAGGGUAAAUGCCUACCAAGGCGACGAUCCAUAGCUGGUUUGAGAGGAUGAUCAGCCACACUGGGACUGGGACACGGCCCAGACUCCUACGGGAGGCAGCAGUGGGGAAUAUUGGACAAUGGGCGAAAGCCUGAUCCAGCAAUGCCGGGUGAGUGAUGAGGGCCUUAGGGUUGUAAAGCUCUUUUACCCGGGAUGAUAAUGACAGUACCGGGAGAAUAAGCUCCGGCUAACUCCGUG